GGGGAAUUUUGGACAAUGGGCGCAAGCCUGAUCCAGCCAUGCCGCGUGCAGGAUGAAGGCCUUCGGGUUGUAAACUGCUUUUGUACGGAACGAAAAGACUCUGGUUAAUACCUGGGGUCCAUGACGGUACCGUAAGAAUAAGCACCGGCUAACUACGUGCCAGCAGCCGCGGUAAUACGUAGGGUGCGAGCGUUAAUCGGAAUUACUGGGCGUAAAGCGUGCGCAGGCGGUUAUAUAAGACAGAUGUGAAAUCCCCGGGCUCAACCUGGGAACUGCAUUUGUGACUGUAUAGCUAGAGUACGGCAGAGGGGGAUGGAAUUCCGCGUGUAGCAGUGAAAUGCGUAGAUAUGCGGAGGAACACCGAUGGCGAAGGCAAUCCCCUGGGCCUGUACUGACGCUCAUGCACGAAAGCGUGGGGAGCAAACAGGA
rnacentral:rRNA from 1 species